UGGACCAGGGAUGGGAAAGUGGCUUUGAACAAAGCACCAUGAUUAAUCUGGUUUCUUUGUAAAACACAGAUGUCCAUU